AUAUGUGAUUACUUAAUAAACUGUUUUGACUUUCACAUUUGGUUUCUUGGUGGGUGCUGUGAGCAAGGUGAAACCUUGUUGAGGUGCAACAGUUGGGUUCUUGUACAACCCACCUGUGAUAUCUCUAACAUUUGAUGAACUCCUGCCAUCAACAAUACUGCCUCCCACUAAGAAUUCAGUUUAAAGCUAUCCUGAUCUGGUUUGUGAGACUUUUGGCAAAAGGGUUUCUGUUAAUGGCCAUAAGGUACAAUCCAUUACUUGCCAGAAAUCCAUCUUUUUGAAACUGCAUGAAGUCACAUUGUUCCCAUCAGCAACAUUUGCAGAACCACUUGUUCACCUCUACCAUUCUUAUCUCCUUUCCUGACCAUGCCCUUCAACUGGGAAGACGGGCAAAAUGACAACCUGUGCAUCCAAGUUCUUCAGCUUCCUAUCCAGAACCUUGGAAUCCCUUGUGAUAUCCUGAAGGCUAUAACUUGCAGUAUCAUUGGUUUCCCUGUGGACCAAAACAAAGAGGGCUUGACAAGCCUUGUCAGACCCCAAGUUAAAUCAAUUGUUUUUGUCCUAAGGAGACAGCAAUCAAGUCCAGCUGAGCAUACAUAUUACUUCCUUUAUCUGCAGAUUAUGUUGCAAAGAGAAACUACUCAGUCUAAUUUUUUUGGCCACUCCAUUCUUAAGAAAACAAGAACGAACGGAUAUAGUUAUAGAUGUUUUCUUUUCUGUCUUAAGAGCCAUUUCAUAGGAAUCACAAUAAAAAUACUGAUUAUAUUUCAAAAGAUUUACGCAACAACAUCAUAGACUCAGUUGGGCGGGACACCACAAACCUCCUAUAUAUAACAAACCUUAAUCAGUGAAAAGCUAGACCACUACACAACAUCAUCUCCACCAUGAAGCUGACAGUUGUCUUUCUGCUGGUCACCCUGAUGGUGUGCUGCUAUUCAGAUACUGUUGUAGAGGUUUGUCCUCCUAUUGAGGUCGUCCUCAACAAGUUCUUUUUUAGCUCAAUGACUGACUACAUGAAAAUGAUGGCUCCUUUUGCAACUAGUCCUGAAAUGACUGAAGCAGCUUCACGGUUGAAGCAAUGUACCCUUGAAGCUACACAGGAAGAGCUGCUGGCAAAAGAACAACUGCUG